rnacentral:rRNA from 1 species
GACAGAGGGGGGCAAGCGUUGCUCGGAAUUACUGGGCGUAAAGGGCGCGUAGGCGGGAUGGCAAGUCGGUCGUGAAAUCCCUCGGCUCAACCGAGGAACGUCGAUCGAUACUGCUGUUCUUGAGGAUUGCAGAGGAGACUGGAAUUCCCGGUGUAGCGGUGAAAUGUGUGGAGAUCGGGAGGAACACCGGUGGCGAAGGCGGGGUCUC